rfam:Streptomyces subrutilus strain 10-1-1 1, whole genome shotgun sequence.
UCGCGUCAAGCGCCGAAGGCAGGAGCGGGGGAACCAAGGUAGGCGCCGGGAGCGGCCGUUGAGAGACGGUCACGCCACCGGCUAGGGGUCAAGACGUGCGCUAGGUCGCACGGCCGGGCAACUCACUCGCCCGAACCCGACAGCUCACCUCGCAGGCGUCGGUGAGGAGAAAC